rnacentral:misc_RNA from 1 species
AAUCUUCAGAAACCCUUUUCUCUUUGAACCAUUGUGGUCGGGAAAGGGAUUUUUGGACUUGGAGGUUUAAUGCUCGCCCUUUCUUUCGAAAGCGAGCUCCUCUCAAAUGAAUUAGUGGGGUCCGCUUUGCUGAUCCUUGACGUGAUAAAAUGUUUCUACGUUUUGGGUUUAGCACUGUCCCUUGGAUGCCUGCUGCCAACCGUCUCACUGACAAUGAUGGUGCUCCGGUCACCGCCGUCUACAUCGGCGGGAGGCUGGGCCCACGAAAGAAAA